rnacentral:tRNA from 1 species
GGGCAUAUCUUCUAAUGGUUAGGAAGCUACUCUGAUAAGGUAGUAAUCAAGGUUCAAUUCCUUGUAUGCCAACA